rnacentral:lncRNA from 1 species
GAAAAAUUCACAUACCAUAAGGAUGCAGUUUAAUAAAUACUCGUCUGAUCAAGAAACAGAACAUUACGAGCACCCCAGAAACCACCUCUGUGCUCCUCUCUUCCAGCUUUUCCAAACGGUGUCGAGUGUUCAGCUGUGGACAGACAUACAGAUCUGGAAGUCAUCAGCAGAGGGUAAUAUGAGACAGGAGAGUAGACAAUAUUUUGGAGUGCAUAAGUAGAAAGCCGAGAGAAGAAGACUGAGGCUAGAACCCUGAGGAAUAUCCAACGUUUGCCCUUGAAGGAGACUGAGAAGUAGCCAGAAGUUGGAGGAAGAUCGGAAGGAUGAUGUGUCUUCAAAGAAGGAAAAUGAGUGUUUCAAGGAGUUAGCUGUCCCCUGUGUCAAGUAAAAAGAGACUGAAAAAUGUUCAUCAAAUUUAACAACUGCUGGUUUGAUCUAUUCAAGAAUGUUGUGGCAUAUAUAAGGCUGUUCAAGACGCAUGGUGCCAGCAUCUACUUCUCGUGAGGACCUCAGGGAGCUUCCACCCAUGGCAAAAAGCCAG